AAAUUCCACAGGAAUGCAAGAAAAUCAUAUUCAAUAUCAGGAAGAAAAAGCACUCUAAUUGCAACUCCUAUUGUCAUAGCAUAAGUAAGAUACAAUCACCAAGGAUGAAUAAGUGAGACCACAUGUUUGACAACAUCCAACACAAACAUUUCAUUUGUCUAAUUUUUAUGAGAAAAGAAAUCCAAUCGAGAAUGAAAGGAACGAGAAUACAAUCUAAAGCGUACAACUACAAACAAGAAAAUAAAG
rnacentral:misc_RNA from 1 species